rnacentral:rRNA from 1 species
CACGGGGGUUGCAAGCGUUGUCCGGAAUUACUGGGCGUAAAGGGUACGCAGGCGGUUUGAUAAGUCAGGUGUAAAAGGCAUUGGCUCAACCAAUGUAAGCAUUUGAAACUGUCAGACUUGAGUAUAGGAGAGGUAAGUGGAAUUCCUAGUGUAGCGGUGAAAUGCGUAGAUAUUAGGAGGAACACCAGUGGCGAAGGCGACUUACUGGACUAAAACUGACGCUGAGGUACGAAAGCGUGGGGAGCAAACA